UUCUGUGCAUACUGAAUGGAUGCAGUUCUAUCUCUACAGCUCAAUUGUCCAGAAAAAUGUUUACUUGACUGAUUAGCCUUUUGCUUGUGAAUGCCCAACAGCACACUGAGAUUCAACACAGGCUUUUGCUAUUGGAAGUUACUUGGCAUUUUUUUUUCUUUUUCACAAGCUUCCCUACACCAAUACACUCAGCUCUUCCCCCAGCAUCAAAACCUCAGUUACAUGGUGUGACUGUUCCCAGGACAAAUGAUGUAACUUCCUUUUGCUCACUGAGGAUGACACAACGCUCCCAAACAAAAGGCAAGUGCUGAGAAGUGCCUGCAGGGGCUGUAGAUGGCUAAAGAUAUUUAAUAUAUUUAAGGGAUUUUUUUUUUUUUUCCUUCCUAAGGCUUCUGUAUGUCUUCAUUCCUAAGGAAAAUAUACAUUUGAUCAGUGCACUGCAUGAACAUUUGGCUGGGGCCAGAGUUUAAUCAAAGUUUUCUCCCCAUAUACUCCCAGCUUAAUUGGGCAUGCACAAUCACAGCAUUUGAACAGUGGGGAGUUUUCUUACUAGAUUGUUUGUUUCUAUAGGCUCAACACAAAGGAUCUUGAAAACUGCCCUCCUGCUAGGAGCAGCCAUGUCCACUGUGAGUGUACCAUGUGCCAUUUCUGAACAUCAGAAAUUAGUUCCAGCGAACCUUUGUGGAGCAGGAGUGCUGUGAAUCAUCAGUAUGCAGGAGCACAGAGAGAAGUUCACAGGUUUCUAUCUGAUCACCAUCAAUUGUAUCAGUAUGAGCCAACUGAUCAAGAAGAUCAUCCAGCUGACUUGUCUCUCUGCAGUACCCAUCAAUGAAGUACUUGCUGUCUUCUGUCCUGCUUAAAAGAUGCUGGAAUUCUCAAUACCAACACAUGUAUGACAGCUUACAGUGAGUGCUUGCAGCUCAGCAGACAUCUGCUUUCUGGAGCUGCCCAUGUGGAUUGCAUACUGCACAUAAAUGCUAACAGGAAAGGACUGCGUACUGCACACAAAUGCUAACAGGAAAGGACAAGUCCAAAUGUUUUGUUUCUUUCCUACAUCAAACGUUGAAUCUGAAAAAUUGAUAGAUAUUCUGUUCAUGGGGGACUGACUUAGUGAGCAGAAAAACAAGUGAGAGAAACCACACACUGUGAAUACAGGGGGGACAUUAGGGUCAACAAGAAGUUUCUGUGAUUCCAGUGUUGUUAUUCAGACUCUUGGGCUAGAACAUUGUGCUGCUAAUAAAUAUUUAUACCUGCAGUCUGUGCCCUGUGUAACAGAAAGUGCUGCCUGGUUGGCACUCUGCCUCAAGCUCUACUAUGCCAGGUAUUCCUGAGAAAUCUGGCUAUAGAAAGCUUCUGGGAAGGGAACUCUGACAUGCACAGGUUGGUAUGUAAAAUCUCACACUGUGUUGGAUAGCAGACUGCUGUAGCCUCUACAUAGCACUACAAUAUAGACGUAAAGUAUCUAUGAAUAUAACGUGUGAAAAAAACCCCCAGGAACAAAAA